rnacentral:rRNA from 1 species
UGUUUAAUAAAAACAUGUCUUCUUGAUUAUAAUUUGAAGUCUGACCUGCUCUAUGAUUUUUAAAUGGCCGCAGUAUUUUGACUGUGCUAAGGUAGCAUAAUAAUUAGUUUCUUAAUUAGAAGCUUGUAUGAAUGGUUUGAUAAAAAAACUUCUAUCUUAAAUUAAUUUUAUUUGAAUUUUAUCUUUAAGUAAAAAAGCUUAAAUUUUUUUAGGGGACGAGAAGACCCUAUAGAAUUUAAUAAUUUUUUAUUUUAAAUUUUUUUAGAAUUUAUUUUUUAAUUUGAAGUAUUAUUUAGUUGGGGUGACUGAAAAAUUUAAUGAACUUUUUUUUAUUAAAACUUUUUAAUUGAAUUAUGAUCCGAUUUAUCGUUACAAGAAAAAAUUACCUUAGGGAUAACAGCGUUAUAAUUUUUUAGAGUUCUUAUCGAAAAAAUUGAUUGCGA